rnacentral:rRNA from 1 species
CGUAGGGUGCAAGCGUUAAUCGGAAUUACUGGGCGUAAAGCGUGCGCAGGCGGCGCCGCAAGUCAGGCGUGAAAUCCCCGAGCUCAACUUGGGAAUUGCGCUUGAAACUACGGUGCUCGAGUAUGGCAGAGGGAGGUGGAAUUCCACGUGUAGCGGUGAAAUGCGUAGAGAUGUGGAGGAACACCGAUGGCGAAGGCAGCCUCCCUGGGGCCAAUACUGACGCUCAUGCACGAAAGCGUGGGGAGCAAACAGGAUUAGAUACCCUGGUAGUCCACGCCCUAAACGAUGAUGACUAGUUGUUGGGGGGUUAAAUCCCUUAGUAACGCAGCUAACGCGUGAAGUCAUCCGCCUGGGGAGUACGGUCGCAAAGAUUAA